GACGGAGGGGGCUAGCGUUGUUCGGAAUGACUGGGCGUAAAGGGCGCGUAGGCGGCUUAUCAAGUCAGGUGUGAAAGCCCACGGCUUAACCGUGGAAGUGCAUGGGAAACUGCAGAGCUUGAGUACUUAAGAGGAUCGCGGAAUUCCCGGUGUAGAGGUGAAAUUCGUAGAUAUCGGGAGGAACACCAGUGGCGAAGGCGGCGAUCUGGGAAGAUACUGACGCUGAGGUGCGAAAGCGUGGGGAGCAAACAGG
rnacentral:rRNA from 1 species